GUCAAGAGGUCCGUGACCAGAAGGAAGGAACCCAGCCCUUUCUAAACAGGACAUCAUUUGAGUCCCCUAACAGAAAUCUCAACUCUUCAGGACUUCAAAAACCUGUUCCAGCUGCGUGGGAAGGUGAAGACAUCUUUGGAGUGCUCCCAUUUUUGAGGGUGCCCUGGGAAUGAAGGACUAAUUUGGAGGCAGUGUUCUUCCUGACGACACUGAAACGAAUUUGCUACCACUUCUGGGGGAGACUCACCCUUUUUACUGAGUGCUUGCAUGGGUAACGUUGGUGAGGGCCUUGCUGCCCUGAGGGUCGGGGGCGUCCUGCAUCGGCUGCAGGGGCGAGCUGGGUGGAUGGAGGUCAGGAGUAUCCCAGGUUCACCCCGAAAGCUGGUGGCAUCUGCCUCCUAUGACCUGAAACGGGCUCACCUCUGAGGGACUUCAACAAAAAUGCCUGGUUUCCCACUUGUUGACUAGUUUUCUGGUCCUCUGGGAGAGAGGGAUGCUCCAUGCCUUGCACGGCACAGGAUAGUUCAAUAUUAGUGGUAAAAGGAGACACGUACAGCUCUGGUCUGCAGUGAUCUGUGAUGAGAUUGCUGCUGCUGCAGCAGGUCCAAAAGCUUUGCGAGGAAUUUUGCUAAAACUUUCCACAAGUUUAACAACUACCUCACCUGAAAGACUGGCCGUGUUUCAGUGAUGUGUAUUUUUGGCGGCUGCAGCUUCACUGAGGGCCACGAGAGGUCAGCACUGGAUAAGUUUGCAUCUCCGGCGGGUGGUCCUGAACCCUCCCCGGGCAGACGAGAGCGUCACACCCGGGUCGGCAACACCAGGGAGCACCGAGUCGCUUCCAGUAACAGGGACGAAUGGGCUGUAGGAUCACCUGGUCGCAGGACCCUAAUGACACAGCUUUGGGUACCGCCGGCAGGAGGGGGGUCUCUGAAGGCGACAGACUCCUCCAGCAGAAGCACCGAGGAGCACCUUCCACUCCAGCAAUGCCUGGCCACGUCCUGGACACGGGACCUCCCAGCUCCGAGGAGCCCCCCGUGCUGCACCGAGCACCCCUCGGCUGCCCCUGCGUGACCCCCCAGGGCAGGCCCUCUGCUGAUGGCCACGGGCACACCUACGGGAGGUAUGGCAGAAGAUAA
rnacentral:lncRNA from 1 species